UACAGAGGGUGCAAGCGUUGCUCGGAUUUACUGGGCGUAAAGCGUACGCAGACGGAUCGUCAAGUCAGGAGUGAAAGCCCUGGGCUCAACCCAGGAACGGUCUUUGAUACUAGCGGUCUUGAGUUUGGGAGAGGGAAGCGGAAUUCCUGGUGUAGAGGUGAAAUUCGUAGAUAUCAGGAGGAACACCGGCGGCGAAGGCGGCUAUCUGGACGGUUUCUGACGCUAAGACGCGAAAGCGUGGGGAGCAAACAGG
rnacentral:rRNA from 1 species